rnacentral:lncRNA from 1 species
GUGAUAGAUCGGUUAAUCGAGAGCAGUUGAUAGUUUGAUAAAGAAAUUUGAUAUUUUUAUUCAAAAUUAAGAUGUUGAUUUUCGUGUAUAAGCAACAAAAAAAAAAGUUUGAAUUAGAUCACCUAUUAAAAGAACUAAAUCUCGAAGUAAUGGACCUCACUCUUUUGAUAAGAUCUACUGAUGAAGUUGUAUUGAUAAAGAGAAUUAUUAGAAGAUUUGACUUAGAUUUUUAAUGGAGAAAAGUAUUGUUGAUUCUCUGAAUAAUCUGGAGAUAGCUAUAUAAUUUUACUAGUGAGUUUUUCUAUUGUUGGCAAUUCCUGGGAGAUUUUGAGCAUCUUAAAUUUAGCAUUAUCGGAUUAAUGGUGCCUUGGAUGGGCUUAGACCUGGAAUGUUUCUUACUUCUAGCUAUGACAUUUUCGAUCUACCCAUUUGAAAGGGGUUUGAAGUUUUGCUAGGAUAAAAGUUGAUCAUUAAAUUGUAGGCAAAGUUAAGAGAAGAAAGAGGAUUAUAGAUUAUGAAAAGUAUUUGAUGCUAAUGCUCUCACCUAUUUCUGUUAAGCCGAUUAAGAUCUUUGUGUGGACUUAAUCGAAAGAAAUUAAUUUCUUGGGCCAAG